GUGAGAACAGGUGGAGAUCUACAGUUGAGCACACAGGAGCCACAUCACAGAUAAGAAAAGCUAUACCAGUAAAGUCUUGCCAACAUGGCUGCCUAAAUGUAAACUGAGCAAGGACAACACCAAUCGAUGUGCUGACACAGAAAGCUCACUGGUUCUCAGUCCUGCAGAAGUGUCUCCUGAAUCCCCUGCCAGUCCCCAAAUUGACAGAUACUAAGCCCCAACAACUGAGUAAUGGGAGAAGCGGAAGCAGAAGCGAGCAUCCUGCUCUGAAGACAGGACUCAGUCCCUGGCAGGCUUUUCAGACUUGUUUUCCUAGCUGUUAUUAAUGGUAUCAAUCCACCAAGUUUUGAAGCUUGUCUUUGCUUCUGUGAGUAUCCACCUUGAUCGCCUCUGACUUUAAUCUUUCUCUGAAUCCACAAAGUGAAGACUGCUUCCUAAUUUCACUGUCUGAGUGGUUGGGAGUUGCCAUGUCAACAUUUCUCAAGCACUAGCAUCAACUUCUGACUGUAGUAGGGAAGAAUUUGUACCCGACUCCGGUUCUGGAUAUAACAGCAGACGGUCUUUGACUUCCACUCCUCUGUUUGUUUGAAUUAAACCAUUCUGUUCACA